CCUGAUAGCUCAGUUGGUAAAGAAUCUGCCUGCAAUUCAGAAGACCCUGGUUCAAUUCCUGGGUCAGGA
rnacentral:tRNA from 1 species